rnacentral:rRNA from 1 species
AAAUUGAAGAGUUUGAUCAUGGCUCAGAUUGAACGCUGGCGGCAGGCCUAACACAUGCAAGUCGAACGGUAACAGGAAACAGCUUGCUGUUUCGCUGACGAGUGGCGGACGGGUGAGUAAUGUCUGGGAAACUGCCCGAUGGAGGGGGAUAACUACUGGAAACGGUAGCUAAUACCGCAUAACGUCGCAAGACCAAAGAGGGGGACCUUCGGGCCUCUUGCUAUCGGAUGUGCCCAGAUGGGAUUAGCUAGUAGGUGGGGUAACGGCUCACCUAGGCGACGAUCCCUAGCUGGUCUGAGAGGAUGACCAGCCACACUGGAACUGAGACACGGUCCAGACUCCUACGGGAGGCAGCAGUGGGGAAUAUUGCACAAUGGGCGCAAGCCUGAUGCAGCCAUGCCGCGUGUAUGAAGAAGGCCUUCGGGUUGUAAAGUACUUUCAGCGGGGAGGAAGGGAGUAAAGUUAAUACCUUUACUCAUUGACGUUACCCGCAGAAGAAGCACCGGCUAACUCCGUGCCAGCAGCCGCGGUAAUACGGAGGGUGCAAGCGUUAAUCGGAAUUACUGGGCGUAAAGCGCACGCAGGCGGUUUGUUAAGUCAGAUGUGAAAUCCCCGGGCUCAACCUGGGAACUG